rnacentral:rRNA from 1 species
CGACCUGAGAUCGGACGAG